UACAGAGGUGGCAAGCGUUGUUCGGAUUUACUGGGCGUAAAGGGCGCGUAGGCGGCGUGACAAGUCACUUGUGAAAUCUCCGGGCUUAACCCGGAGCGGCCAAGCGAUACUGUCGUGCUAGAGUGCGGAAGGGGCUACUGGAAUUCUCGGUGUAGCGGUGAAAUGCGUAGAUAUCGAGAGGAACACCUGCGGCGAAGGCGGGUAGCUGGGCCGACACUGACGCUGAGGCGCGAAAGCCAGGGGAGCGAACGGG
rnacentral:rRNA from 1 species